UACGUAGGGCGCAAGCGUUGUCCGGAAUUAUUGGGCGUAAAGAGCUCGUAGGCGGCUUGUCACGUCGGUUGUGAAAGCCCGGGGCUUAACCCCGGGUCUGCAGUCGAUACGGGCAGACUUGAGUUCGGUAGGGGAGACUGGAAUUCCUGGUGUAGCGGUGAAAUGCGUAGAUAUCAGGAGGAACACCUGUGGUGUAGACGGCUUACUGGACCAUGACUGACGCUGAGGCACGAAAGCGUGGGGAGCAAACAGG
rnacentral:rRNA from 1 species